UUGCCUAAAAAAAACUGCGCGAGAGGAAGGAAGGAGGUUUGUCGACAGGAGCAGAACGGCGGGGUACGGAGACGCCGCAUCUCCGACGGGAGGAGGAGAAAUAUUGGCGCAACCUUCUUCCUCCCCCCCCCCCCCCCCCCCCCCCUCCCGGCCUCACAUUUGGAGCCAGUACGGGCUCACGACGGGCGGCAGAUAUGGACGGGGAGCUGGCCAAGACGGGCCGCCACGCCACGCCGUCCGGGCGGAGCGCGGGAGCGAGAGCUUCUCAAAGGUAUAACUCAGAAAUGAUUUUUGCGCUGGAGGAGGUGAUAGCACAACCACCUACUCGCUAAGAUGACAAGGCUGCGUCAGGACCCAAGUAUGUGUUCUCUGAAGAAUUCAACACUGCAUCGUCGAUUCAGUUAAGUUUGAACGAGACAACUCUGAUGCUUCUCCUGUCCCCGUACCGCUUCGCUAGUUAUGAAGACUCAGAUGGCGUCCGAUCAGCACCUAACGGCUGCGAGAGCGUCCUGUGUCGCUGUUGGCUUUCCGGCGAGCCUUCAGAGAGCCAACUACUCCAUUUUGCUUUUCCUUCUUUUUCCUCCAAGUUGUAAGGCUAUAAAGUCAUUUCAGUUAUUGUUUCUGAAUCUUGAUCUUCAGACCAACUCGGGUCUGACAGGCUGGAGCAACUCUGUAUUUCCAUGCAUGGGUAGCACUGCAGCAACUCAGAGAUCUAUUAUUUACAGAGUUGUUUCAGUGGAUAUUCUUAUGCUCAGACUGAUCAGGACAUCAAUCUGCAAGUGAUUAUCUGACGUUGUUUUGCUGAGGCAUAUGAGUGUAGAUAGCAUCGUUGUUCUAACAAUACACAUGUAUUUAUGUGUGGCAGAUAGUUGACUUCAGUUUGCAGAGAAGUUGGAAGCCGACUUCAGGACUUACAUAGCAUGUGGCAUAGCUGACUCUCUAGCUGCAGUGAUUGUUCUUGGCAAGGGGCAUGAGUUUACUGCUGACCGCUCGUGCUUUGUGUCCCCUUUCUCGUAGUCACCUUCGAUUCCGGUGACGGCACAAGGUGCGGCAGCUGGUGCUUGCGGCGACGCUGCUGGGGCCAGUGGGUGGAGUGGCACGGUCGCCGACGGAGAAGCAGCGACAUCCGCAGCGGCUGGCGCAAAGUCUUCGAGGAAAUUUCAUGGGCCUCAGUUUUUUACUAGCUUCAGUGUUGAGUAUAACAGCUCGUGCUACAGUAAAAGAGUUCAGAGUAUAGAGGUGACAAAACUACAACUCUGAAACCUGACAUCAGCAGAAGAGUUCAGAGUAUAGAGGUGACAAAACUACAACUCUGAAACCUGACAUCAUAUCUCUCUGAACCCAGCUGUUUCAACUUAACCUAAUGCAUGAUCUAUCAAGUUGUAAUAUUCAAAACUCAAAAGAAACCAAGUCGUGUUUCUAGUCGUGCUUUGAGAACA